CUGAUUUUAAGAGUAAAAUAUUAUCCUUCACUCUCCAUUCAAUUCCCCCAAAUUCCCCACGCAGAUGCUGCCAAAAAACAAGGGGCCACCUUAAUGGAGGCAGAAGAAAAGAUAAAAACAUGGCUAAAAUACAGCGGUGACCGAAAUGGAGGAAGAAAAAGGAGAUCAGAAAAGGAGAGGCAGACACAUUCCCCAUCACAUCCUCCAUCUGACAUCAGCAGUGAAUCCGAGGAAGUGUCUGAAAUAUCUGACAUUGAGCAGAACUGAUUGAUGACCCAUCAACCCUUGAGGAUCUCAUCACAUAAAUGUUUAUUAUUAAAUCAAUAUGUAUUAUUAAAUGUAUUUAUUUUAACCCUUAA